rnacentral:rRNA from 1 species
GAGCACACGGAGGAUGCCUAGGCGCUAGGAGCCGAUGAAGGACGUGGCGAACAACGAAACUGCCUCGGGGAGCUGUAAGCAAGCUUUGAUCCGGGGAUGUCCGAAUGGGGAAACCCAGCUGGGGUAAUUUCCAGUUACUCACAACUGAAUACAUAGGUUGUGUAGAGGCAUACCAGGGGAACUGAAACAUCUAAGUACCUUGAGGAAGAGAAAACAAUAGUGAUUCCGUCAGUAGCGGCGAGCGAACGCGGA